UACAGAGGUCUCAAGCGUUUUUCGGAUUCAUUGGGCGUAAAGGGUGCGUAGGUGGCGGGGUAAGUCUGGUGUGAAAUCUCGGGGCUCAACCCCGAAACUGCACUGGAUACUGCCUUGCUCGAGUACUGGAGAGGAGAUUGGAAUUUACGGUGUAGCAGUGAAAUGCGUAGAUAUCGUAAGGAAGACCAGUGGCGAAGGCGAAUCUCUGGACAGUUACUGACACUGAGGCACGAAGGCCAGGGGAGCAAACGGG
rnacentral:rRNA from 1 species